UACGAAGGGGGCUAGCGUUGUUCGGAAUCACUGGGCGUAAAGCGUACGUAGGCGGAUCGUUAAGUCAGGGGUGAAAUCCCGAGGCUCAACCUCGGAACUGCCUUUGAUACUGGCAAUCUUGAGUCCGGGAGAGGUGAGUGGAACUCCUAGUGUAGAGGUGAAAUUCGUAGAUAUUAGGAAGAACACCCGUGGCUAAGGCGGCUCUCUAGUACGGUACUGACGCUGAGACGCGAAAGCGUGGGGAGCGAACAGG
rnacentral:rRNA from 1 species